CGGGAAACUGGGGAUAAUACCCUAUAGUCCAUGGAUGCUGGAAUGCUUCGUAGUUGAAAGGUCCGCCGCUGUAGGAUGGGUCUGCGGCCGAUUAGGUUGUUGUUGGGGUAACGGCCCAACAAGCCUGUAAUCGGUACGGGUUGUGGGAGCAAGAGCCCGGAGAUGGAUUCUGAGACACGAAUCCAGGCCCUACGGGGCGCAGCAGGCGCGAAAACUUUACAAUGCGGGAAACCGUGAUAAGGGAACUCUGGGUGCCGGUAAAAUCGGGCUGUCCAUCAGUUUAAAGAACUGGUGAAGAAAGGCCCGGGCAAGACCGGUGGCAGCCGCCGCGGUAACA
rnacentral:rRNA from 1 species